AACUUUAUUAAUAUAUAUUAGUAUGUAUGAUUUCCAAUCAAAAAGACCCCAUAGGGAUAAAGUUG
rnacentral:tRNA from 1 species